rnacentral:rRNA from 1 species
AUUGAACGCUGGCGGCAGGCCUAACGCAUGCAAGUCGAGCGGGGUUUUCGGACCUAGCGGCGGACGGGUGAGUAAUGCGUAGGAAGCUGCCCGAUAGAGGGGGAUACCAGUUGGAAACGACUGUUAAUACCGCAUAAUGUCUACGGACCAAAGUGUGGGACCUUCGGGCCACAUGCUAUCGGAUGCGCCUACGUGGGAUU